UGGGCUACGUGUAGGUAUCCUCAAUUCGCGGAAAUUCGACAGUUGUCCAGAUCUGCAAAUUUCGGGCCAGACAGACCCGUUACCGGAAAAGUCUCCGAAUUGGACCGAGGUUUUGGCUAGCCCCCCAUUGUCAGACGUCCCGAGCGCGUUCCCGAAGUCGGAAUUGGCAAAGGUGAGCCGGGACAGCCUUCUUCCUCCGCCCAGCCGCCACAGUGAUUGUCGUCAAGUCUGCUACAGGAGGAUUUUAUUUUGGUUAACCUGCUUUUCUCCUUCGCAGGUUGUUUAUCAAUAUUUGUGUAAUUUUAUUUACUCCUAGAAUUUCCGCAUGUGUUAGAAGUAUUUAUUUGAUUAUGGUCUGUAAUAUUAUUAUCA